rnacentral:lncRNA from 1 species
AUUUGGAGUUCUUGCUACCUGUGGCUACCCAGCCAAGGACUUUAUGCCUCAGGCCCUCAUAUUCAGGACAUGUUUCUCAGGAAAAUUUUGGAAAUGUGAAAUUACAGAAAAGCCCAAAGGAAAACAAUGAAAAUCACUUGCAACUACAGUACUUAGAAAAAUACCUAUUAUCAUUUUGUUUUAUAUCCCCGCUGUCUUUACAUGUGCAACUUGCAUUUUGCAAGAGUUUAGAAAGUUGUAACCUUAUUUUUUAAAUCAGUGCAUAACUAAUAUUUUUUAUGCUAUUAAAAUAUUAUUUUAAGAUGUAGUGUCUAAUCAUGUGUCUGCAUCAUAAUCUACUUAAUCUCCCCUUGUUGACAAUUAGGUAGUUUCCAAUUUUUCACUAUCAAAAUAAUGCCACAACAAGAAGGAAAUCCUGGUAUAUAAAUAAUUUUACACAACACAGUUAUUUCCUUGA